rnacentral:misc_RNA from 1 species
AUUUCUAAUGGAUCUUAUAGUUCUUUAUAUGCUUACAGUCAAAGUAAAAUAGAAAAAAAAAUUUGGGAUGGAAUAUAUUUGGCCUGGAUUUUCAAAUUCUAACUUAAUAAUAAGGGAGAAAUAGCAUGUCUACUGCACGUAACAACACGGAUUUAUCCUGCAAAAUAAAGAAUCCAUUGGCCCCUGUGGAGUGGUACAAAUCAAGAACCGUCUUAAGAAUUCAGGACAACUUUUCAAAUGUCAAAUGCUACCAGCAUCUCACAAGAAUAUACAGGACAACACUUUUGCAUAAGUCUACACUACACUAAUAAAGCAUAGAAAGAACAAGGAAAUAGCAAAUACGUCUACAACGAAAGCAACACAAUUGAGACCCUGAUACUUUCUUUUCCCGCUUAAUCCUAAUUAAUCACUUUCUAUUUGGCAUUUCGGAUCAUGAAUUCCCACAUUCCGCAUCUCUGCAAAUUGCAAACCACGACUUGGGUAUAGAUUAAAAUUAAAAGAAAAAAUUCCCCAGAGUCAAGCAACACUAAAUAAAAUAAAUAGAACUAGCACCAAGUGCACAAAAAUAAUUGAUUUUUUUUUCUAUUUUCAAGAAAGAGAUACUGACGGCAAUGGAAGGAGGUGAACAACGAGCGAAGUGCGAGAACCAUAGUAACGAAGGGCUUGUUUGAGAGGAGGCCAUGAGUCUCUGCUAUCGGGGCAGACAGGAUCAUAGAAGGCCUCAAUCAGGAUGGAGUCGGCAUCACCUGGGCGAUCCUGGUAAACGAACCCAUCGUACCUUGCAGGUGGUAGGGUCUGAGCAUGUAGGGUCCAUGAAAACAAACUGAUAAGACAGAAGAAAGAAAGUAUCAGAGUGGCAAAUUGUGGCCUGGGCAUCCUCUGUUCUUCUUCUUCUCUGAUUCAGUGAAGUCCUCUGGUAGAGCUCUAAUGCAUGGACGAGAGACGGAGCAGGAAGAAGAGCAACCAAUCGUCGAAAUUCCACUUUAGUACAUGAAGUCAAUAGAAACUGCACCUUUCUUCUAUCAUGUACUGGGUCAAU